CACAGGGUUACUCGCAAAGCUUUACGAACCCUAAGGCGCAAUGAAAGUGAAGGUCAGGCUUCGCACUGACCGAGGCAGGAUCCGUCCGGGUGAGCGAAGCUCUUCUUCCUUUUGCGGGUGCAAACCCGCGGGGGAGCUCGGCGGCGCACUGCCGGCCCAUCUCAGCCGCUUCUCGUCGGCGAGGUGGAGCCAGAGCGCACACGUUGGGACCCGAAAGAUGGUGAACUAUGCUCGGGCAGGACGAAGCCAGAGGAAACUCUGGUGGAGGUCCGUAGCGAUUCUGACGUGCAAAUCGAUCGUCGGACCCGAGUAUAGGGGCGAAAGACUAAUCGAACCGUCUAGUAGCUGGUUCCCUCCGAAGUUUCCCUCAGGAUAGCUGGUGCUCGGUGAGGAACGCAGUCUCAUCCGGUAAAGCGAAUGAUUAGAGGCCUUGGGGCCG
rnacentral:rRNA from 1 species